UAGGGAAUCUUCCACAAUGGACGCAAGUCUGAUGGAGCAACGCCGCGUGAGUGAAGAAGGUUUUCGGAUCGUAAAGCUCUGUUGGUGGUGAAGAAGGAUAGAGGCAGUAACUGGUCUUUAUUUGACGGUAAUCAACCAGAAAGUCACGGCUAACUACGUGCCAGCAGCCGCGGUAAUACGUAGGUGGCAAGCGUUGUCCGGAUUUAUUGGGCGUAAAGCGAGCGCAGGCGGAAUGAUAAGUCUGAUGUGAAAGCCCACGGCUCAACCGUGGAACUGCAUCGGAAACUGUCAGUCUUGAGUGCAGAAGAGGAGAGUGGAAUUCCAUGUGUAGCGGUGGAAUGCGUGGAUAUAUGGAAGAACACCAGUGGCGAAGGCGGCUCUCUGGUCUGCCACUUACGCUGAGGCUCGAAAGCAUGGGUAGCGAACAGG
rnacentral:rRNA from 1 species